rnacentral:rRNA from 1 species
AUUGAACGCUGGCGGUAGGCUUAGCACAUGCAAGUCGGGCGAGAAAGUAUCUUCGGAUAUGAGUAGAGCGGCGGACGGGUGAGUAACGCGUAGGAAUCUACCUAGUAGAAGGGGAUAGCCCGGGGAAACUCGGAUUAAUACCGUAUACCUCCUAAGGGAGAAAGAGGGCCUCUCUUGAAGCUCUCGCUACUAGAUGAGCCUGCGUAAGAUUAGCUUGUUGGUAAGGUAAUGGCUUACCAAGGCUACGAUCUUUAGCUGGUCUGAGAGGACGAUCAGCCACAUUGGGACUGAGACACGGCCCAGACUCCUACGGGAGGCAGCAGUGGGGAAUAUUGGACAAUGGGCGCAAGCCUGAUCCAGCCAUACCGCGUGUGUGAAGAAGGCCUUCGGUUGUAAAGUCGACUUAAGUACAGGAGAAAAAGAACGAAAUAAAGUUAAUUACCUU